GCCCCGGUGGCUCAAAUGGUAGAGCAGCCGUCUUGUAAGCGGCAGUGUGGCGGUUCGAACCCGCCCCGGGGCU
rnacentral:tRNA from 2 species